rnacentral:rRNA from 1 species
AGAGUUUGAUCCUGGCUCAGGAUGAACGCUGGCGGCGUGCUUAACACAUGCAAGUCGAGCGAAGCACUUUUGCGGAUUUCUUCGGAUUGAAGCAACUGUGACUGAGCGGCGGACGGGUGAGUAACGCGUGGGUAACCUGCCUCAUACAGGGGGAUAACAGUUGGAAACGGCUGCUAAUACCGCAUAAGCGCACAGUACCGCAUGGUACCGUGUGAAAAACUCCGGUGGUAUGAGAUGGACCCGCGUCUGAUUAGCUAGUUGGUGGGGUAACGGCCUACCAAGGCGACGAUCAGUAGCCGACCUGAGAGGGUGACCGGCCACAUUGGGACUGAGACACGGCCCAAACUCCUACGGGAGGCAGCAGUGGGGAAUAUUGCACAAUGGGGGAAACCCUGAUGCAGCGACGCCGCGUGAGCGAUGAAGUAUUUCGGUAUGUAAAGCUCUAUCAGCAGGGAAGAAAAUGACGGUACCUGACUAAGAAGCCCCGGCUAACUACGUGCCAGCAGCCGCGGUAAUACGUAGGGGGCAAGCGUUAUCCGGAUUUACUGGGUGUAAAGGGAGCGUAGACGGCAUGGCAAGCCAGAUGUGAAAGCCCGGGGCUCAACCCCGGGACUGCAUUUGGAACUGUCAGGCUAGAGUGUCGGAGAGGAAAGCGGAAUUCCUAGUGUAGCGGUGAAAUGCGUAGAUAUUAGGAGGAACACCAGUGGCGAAGGCGGCUUACUGGACGGUAACUGACGUUGAGGCUCGAAAGCGUGGGGAGCAAACAGGAUUAGAUACCCUGGUAGUCCACGCCGUAAACG